UUAACUUUUAAUCCUGAGUUUAACUCAAAGUCUUCUAAUAUAAUUUUUGUCUCUUUGACUCCUUCUUUCGGAUUAGAUAUAACUAUGAUCAGGUCAUCUGCAAAUAAGUUUAAUUUAAUUUCUUCCUUGCCUAUUUGACAUCCCUCUAUCCUCCCAGAGUUCCUAAUGCGUUGAGCUAGUUGUUCUAUAGCCAUUAUGAAGAGGAACGGGGAAAGCGGACAUCCUUGCCUAACUCCUCUCUGAAUUGAGAAUUGUGAGGUGAUGAACAAACCGCGCGUGAAGCUGCUGCAGAGGAGGGUCCUUCGACAAGUGGCCAAACAGCCCCCCAGCUAGACUCAGGAGGAGAACGAUAGAGGACAUUCUCUCUGCUGUGGAGGGGAUGGAAGCGAGACUGGGCGCCUCCAUAAACAACUUACAGGAGAGGAUGACUUCAAUGGAGGGCCGUUUCAGAAGGUUGGGCCGAAGGGUGACAUCGAUCGAAAGGCGAGAACGCCAAAGAGACCAUCCCUCAACCACGUGAUUGGUCUCUCUCCUCCGCCUCUUUCUGUAAAUAGUUAAAGAUUGUUCUUUUCCCACCAAAGGUUCAAGAAUCACAGUUAUUUAAAUGUUCUUUUUUUGCAACACAGUUAUAAUUGAAAUCA